AAGAUGUAGAUUUUAAUGCAGAUAUCCAUGGGCACUGGACCCUGGAGAAUGCUAAGAGUCGUUUGCACCAGUUCCUACAGGUAAACAAGAUACAGACAGACUACAAGUACAGCAUGGUGGGACCCGAUCACAACAGAGUUGUGUUGUCAUGGGUAACAGCUGCCAGUGCCAUCUGGUGAGCAAACUGAGAACCAGGAACAUGUACCCCACCAGGCUGUCCCACUGAUCUAUGGAAUCACCACGGGAGCUUUAUAGCAGAAAUGAAGUUCUACGUGAACAAACUUGGCCAAGGUA